ACCUGGGUGGCUAAGUGGUUGAGCAUCUGUCUUUGGCUCAGGUCAUGAUCCCGGGGUCGUGGGAUCAAAUCCCGUAUCAGGCU
rnacentral:tRNA from 1 species